rnacentral:rRNA from 1 species
UACAGAGGUGGCAAGCGUUGUUCGGAAUUACUGGGCGUAAAGGGCGCGUAGGCGGUCUUGUAAGUCCUGUGUGAAAUCCCUCGGCUUAACUGAGGAACUGCACGGGAUACUGCGAGACUUGAGAUCGGGAGAGGGAAGCGGAAUUCCGGGUGUAGCGGUGAAAUGCGCAGAUAUCAGGAAGAACACCCGUGGCGAAAGCGGCUCUCUGGAACGGUACUGACGCUGAGACGCGAAAGCGUGGGGAGCGAACAGG